GCUCUGGGGGACCUGAUGCAGCCAUGCCGCGUGUGUGAAGAAGGCCUUCGGGUUGUAAAGCACUUUCAGUUGUGAGGAAAAGUUAGUAGUUAAUACCUGCUAGCCGUGACGUUAACAACAGAAGAAGCACCGGCUAACUCCGUGCCAGCAGCCGCGGUAAUACGGAGGGUGCGAGCGUUAAUCGGAAUUACUGGGCGUAAAGCGCACGCAGGCGGUUUGUUAAGCUAGAUGUGAAAGCCCCGGGCUCAACCUGGGAUGGUCAUUUAGAACUGGCAGACUAGAGUCUUGGAGAGGGGAGUGGAAUUCCAGGUGUAGCGGUGAAAUGCGUAGAUAUCUGGAGGAACAUCAGUGGCGAAGGCGACUCCCUGGCCAAAGACUGACGCUCAUGUGCGAAAGUGUGGGUAGCGAACAGGAUUAGAUACCCUGGUAGUCCACACCGUAAACGCUGUCUACUAGCUGUGUGUGCCUUUAAGGCGUGCGUAGCGAAGCUAACGCGCUAAGUAGACCGCCUGGGGAGUACGGCCGCAAGGUUAAAACUCAAAGAAAUUGGACGGGA
rnacentral:rRNA from 1 species